rnacentral:rRNA from 1 species
ACGCUGGCGGCAUGCUUUACACAUGCAAGUCGAACGGCAGCACGGGUGCUUGCACCUGGUGGCGAGUGGCGAACGGGUGAGUAAUGCACCGGAACGUACCCAGUAAUGGGGGAUAACACAUCGAAAGAUGUGCUAAUACCGCAUACGCCCUGAGGGGGAAAGCGGGGGAUCGUAAGACCUCGCGUUAUUGGAGCGGCCGAUGCCGGAUUAGCUAGUUGGUGAGGUAAGAGCUCACCAAGGCGACGAUCCGUAGCUGGUCUGAGAGGACGACCAGCCACACUGGGACUGAGACACGGCCCAGACUCCUACGGGAGGCAGCAGUGGGGAAUUUUGGACAAUGGGCGCAAGCCUGAUCCGGCCAUGCCGCGUGAGUGAAGAAGGCCUUCGGGUU